UCAAAGUUGCGAAAAGUGGUUACUGAUCAAAACUAUAACUUACUGAUAACACAUGAUAACUGUAAUAACACAAUUUGACCACUUUCCGCAACUUUGAACUUCAAAAACUUUUGAACGGUUGAAGGUAGAGCUUUCGGUAAACAACCAUUUUAAAGAGGAUAAAAUUACGAACAUUUUGAUGUAUUAAAAUACCUAUGUGUCCACUGAAAAUUUCGAGUAUUUUCAGUUUAAAGAUGACGUACGUAGUAUGCAAAAAUCAGUAAAAUAAAAGUAUUCAUAAAAUCGUUAUUUUUACGCGAAAUGAUAAAAAUUUAACACCAAUCGAUAGGGAAUUUCAUCGUCUUUAAUUUGAGACCUCAUGAAAGUUCAUCCGAACUCGCGAACAAUCAAAAAAAUUGCAUUUUUUAUAUGGAAAGUUGUAUGCAUACAGAUGCAUUCUAAUGUUGUUGUGUUCAAGGUUGGAUGGGCAAUGGCGGCUGUCCGUACCUGUAUGAAAUUAUAGUAGCCCUAGUAUAGUAGCCUUACUGAUAACAGAGAUAAAAGAAUACCCUUGAGAAGGACUUUUCAUAAAUUCAUUUAUACAAAAACUAUUUUUCCAAUCAAAAAAUGGAUCAUAUGGUGACUAUUUAUUUUAUAAUUGGCGUUUGAAGUUGGGCACUUUUCAGUGGAGAAAUUGUUUUCCCAUUCUUUAUUCUUGGACACCAGGUACUGUGACCUGAGCAUGCAAAAAGAAAACAGUUAACAUUGAAAACUGUGCUAUCUGCAUUCGUCAUCGUCCUUCGAAUCCGAUAAAGAUGAUUUCAGGAUUCUGCCUCCAAUACAAAUUUUGGAAUUAGAUUCAGAUGAAAACGAAGGAAUAUUGUAAAUUUUUUCGAACGAGCGAUACCAACAUCAAUUUUUACAUUGACGAAAAUUGAGAUGAGCCAACGAUGACAGAUUUCAAUGAUGACGAAUAGGAAUAUGAUUUGUAACGACGAUUUCAACAACGAUAUCAACGAUUUAUAAAAAAUCAACUUAUUAUACCUAUGACAUGUUUUGUUUUUUGUCAUUAUGACAUGUAAUAUUUUGCAAAUUUUCUGUGAUCUUGUAAAUGCAUUCUAUAUCGAUGUAAAUUUUUUCUAAUGUAUUUCUAUGUAAAUUUCCUUCGUGUAUAUUUUGUUCAAUUUGCAUGUGAUUUAAAAGUUCUCUGUAUACAUAUUUUUUCAAUUGUUCAUGGAAAUCCCAGUACACCAAGUGGGAUUAAGGUACGAUUGUCGAUUAUGCGUGUUUUUCUCUAUUUUUUAUGUAGGUACCUUGUUUCUUUAUUAUGCAAAUUGUUAUGUUUUCAUGUGUUGUGAAUUGUAAAUUAUUCGUCUUUUUGCAAAUUGAAAUAAUGUGUAAAAUGCUGGGAAAGUCGCAAAAAUCACAUUUACCGCGAUGAAGCGAUGGUCUCACGAUCUUUUGAACUUUAUAAAAAUGUUACAAAUACUCAAGUGGGAUAAUUCUAUCUGUUUGUCGUUUGUCUUCACUUAGUUUUUGCUCGUUUCUCGAUGGAACACUACUCGAUAGUGUCUAGUUAUUCGAUUUUCCAAAAUCGUUCAAACAUUCACUUAUUGAGUAGGAUGUUUUGACUCGGGGACAGUUCAAACUUACGUGAUUUCAGACAAAUUGGGUUCAAAAUUGGAAAUUUUUUCGAUUAAUGCGGUACUAUUCCUAUUAUGGGUAUCGCUUAUGGCAAAAAAUCGAUAAAUCGAAGUAACCCCGAGAACAGCCACAUAAGAUGACCAAAUUUUAAAAAAUGGAGGACCAAAAACCCUCCUCCAGAGGCCAGAGUACCUCUUAUGGGGUUUGGCGAAUGCCCCCCGUGCUUGAAAAUUUUAUAUUCAUCUAGUUUUCAUUCCUUUGCCUAUACAAAUAAAAUGUCGUGAUGGUUCAAAAUUCAACCAAAUUCAUCGGUAGGUAUUUAAAGAGGUAGAAUCAAAAACAAGGCUUCGAUCAAGUUAUCGUGUAUUUAUUUCAUGAAAUUAUUUCAUCACGAAUAUAUACUGUGCUACAUUAAUAACAUAAUGUAAAAAAAGAAGCAAAAAUUAUACAUUAUAAGUUACCAUGAUAACAAAAUUUAUGUUUAUUAAGAAUAAAAUAAGGUAAUAAUAAAUGGAAGACGAGUUAAAUGACUGUAGAAAAUAUUUUGGAAGACACUGUAAUUUAUCCUCAUGAUAUAGGUAUUUUAUAAAAUUAUUCAUCUCGAAUGAUAAUUUAUGAACAGAAUAGAACACAAUAAAACAUUAAUCACGUGA